AGAGUUUGAUCCUGGCUCAGGAUGAACGCUAGCGACAGGCUUAACACAUGCAAGUCGAGGGGCAACAGGGUGUAGCAAUACACGGCUGGCGACCGGCGAAUGGGUGAGUAACACGUAUGCAACCUACCUUCAAGAGGGGAAUAGCCCGGCGAAAGUCGGAUUAAUGCGCCAUAAAACAGGGGUCACGCAUGUGACUAUUUGUUAAAGGAUUAAUUGCUUGAAGAUGGGCAUGCGUUCCAUUAGGCAGUUGGCGGGGUAACGGCCCACCAAACCGACGAUGGAUAGGGGUUCUGAGAGGAAGGUCCCCCACAUUGGUACUGAGAAACGGACCAAACUCCUACGGGAGGCAGCAGUGAGGAAUAUUGGUCAAUGGGCGCGAGCCUGAACCAGCCAAGUCGCGUGAAGGAAGAAGGAUCUAUGGUUUGUAAACUUCUUUUACAGGGGGGUAAAGUGAGUGACGAGUCGCUCAUUGCAAGUACCCUGCGAAUAAGCAUCGGCUAACUCCGUGCCAGCCGCCGCGGUAAUUC
rnacentral:rRNA from 1 species